rnacentral:sRNA from 1 species
GCCGGGGACCAUCUGGAGAGGUGGCAGAGCGGUUGAAUGUACCUGACUCGAAAUCAGGCAGGCGUUAAUAGCGCCUCGGGGGUUCGAAUCCCCCCCUCUCCGCCAGAUACUGGAAAAAGCCACCUUCGGGUGGCUUUU